ensembl:lncRNA novel transcript, antisense to ALK
GGGGCAAAAGGCAUGAUAAAUGAGUAGAAGUCAUGGAGAGGUGGAGCUUGCCUCCAGACAGAAUGCUAAGAAGGAUGCUGCUGCACAGUGGGGACUGAGCCAACUCACUGUUCAACAAAUAAGCAUUGGAGGGUCUCUAGUUCCAUAGAAAGAAGGCAAAUGAAGAGGACAGAAGAAGGAGAGAGACCUUCCCACCCCAUCAGCCCUAUGCUGCAGAGAGGGAUCCCACAUCUACUUCUCUUGCAGAAACCAACUGGUGGAAGUGACCUUCUCAUGGAGUGUCCUUCACAAGGACCAGUCCUCUGCUCAGAGUUCCUGCAUCCUGGGGGCCACUUCUGAACCAGACCAUGCCCACUCCAGCCACCACAGAUCGAGCCACGGGCAACCAAUUACUAGACUGGCCACACCUGUGACUUGUGUGGUUCCGCCUUAAGAGAUAGACUGGAGCAAUCAGAUUCUCAGUUUGAGAAAUCUGAUCAAACACAUGGAAAGACUUGCUGAUUUAUGGUGAUGAUUGCAGCUGCAAAGUCUUGAGCUGCCCCGUCAUAAGGAGUAGGAGAUGAUGACCAUCUUGGAGGAGGGAGAUGCUGUAUCCUGGAGAGGCCACUGGGGUAGGAAUCGGCCAUCUGUGCUCCGCUUCAAGUUGUGCUACCGAUUAGUCACAUCACUUCACAUCUGUGCUGCACCCUCACCCUCACUGCUAAACUGGUGACAAUAAAGAUUGUGGGGAAGA